rnacentral:rRNA from 1 species
UCCAGACUCCUACGGGAGGCAGCAGUGGGGAAUAUUGCACAAUGGGGGGAACCCUGAUGCAGCGACGCCGCGUGGGUGAAGGAGCGUUUCGGCGCGUAAAGCCCUAUCGGCAGGGAAGAAGGAGGACGGUACCUGACUAAGAAGCCCCGGCUAACUACGUGCCAGCAGCCGCGGUAAUACGUAGGGGGCAAGCGUUAUCCGGAUUUACUGGGUGUAAAGGGGGCGCAGACGGCGAUGCAAGCCAGGAGUGAAAGCCCGGGGCCCAACCCCGGGACUGCUCUUGGAACUGCGUGGCUGGAGUGCAGGAGGGGCAGGCGGAAUUCCUGGUGUAGCGGUGAAAUGCGUAGAUAUCAGGAGGAACAUCGGUGGCGAAGGCGGCCUGCUGGACUGCAACUGACGUUGAGGCCCGAAAGCGUGGGGAGCAAACAGGAUUAGAUACCCGCGUAG